UACGGGGGGGGCAAGCGUUGUUCGGAAUUACUGGGCGUAAAGGGCUCGUAGGCGGCCAACUAAGUCGGAUGUGAAAUCCCCAGGCUUAGCCUGGGAACUGCAUCCGAUACUGGAUGGCUUGAAUUCGGGAGAGGGAUGCAGAAUUCCAGGUGUAGCGGUGAAAUGCGUAGAUAUCUGGAGGAAUACCGGUGGCGAAGGCGGCAUCCUGGACCGACAUUGACGCUGAGUGAGCGAAAGCUAGGGGAGCAAACGGG
rnacentral:rRNA from 1 species